rnacentral:rRNA from 1 species
GUGCCAGCAGCCGCGGUAAUACAGAGGGGGCGAGCGUUGUUCGGAAUUACUGGGCGUAAAGGGCGCGUAGGCGGCCUGCUAAGUCAUACGUGAAAUCCCUCGGCUCAACCGGGGAACUGCGUGUGAUACUGGCGGGCUUGAAUCCGGGAGAGGAAUGCGGAAUUCCAGGUGUAGCGGUGAAAUGCGUAGAUAUCUGGAGGAACACCGGUGGCGAAGGCGGCAUUCUGGACCGGCAUUGACGCUGAGGCGCGAAAGCCAGGGGAGCAAACGGGAUUAGAUACCCCCGUAGUCC